rnacentral:rRNA from 15 species
UCGGACGAGAUUACCCGCUGAACUUAAGCAUAUCAAUAAGCGGAGGAAAAGAAACCAACAGGGAUUGCCCCAGUAACGGCGAGUGAAGCGGCAAGAGCUCAAAUUUGAAAGCUGGCUCCUUCGGGGUCCGCAUUGUAAUUUGCAGAGGAUGCUUCGGGAGCGGUCCCCAUCUAAGUGCCCUGGAACGGGACGUCAUAGAGGGUGAGAAUCCCGUAUGGGAUGGGGUGUCCGCGCCCGUGUGAAGCUCCUUCGACGAGUCGAGUUGUUUGGGAAUGCAGCUCAAAAUGGGUGGUGAAUUCCAUCUAAAGCUAAAUAUUGGCGAGAGACCGAUAGCGAACAAGUACCGUGAGGGAAAGAUGAAAAGCACUUUGGAAAGAGAGUUAAACAGUACGUGAAAUUGCUGAAAGGGAAACGCUUGAAGUCAGUCGC